AGACUUUGCAGUCAUACACUGGUGAUACCCCAGUUCUGUCCAAAAUCAGAAUUUGUGCUAUAGAAACAAAUACAUUGCACUGGAAGUGGUUUGUGUUUUGGAGAACCUAGUAGUGGCAGAAGCACCAACAGAGAGGAAGACGUGGUAUUGGUCCAGCUCCAGAGUCACGAGAUACAUGAUGGUAUGGAGAGACUAGCUGGACGUCAGUCACACCAAACUACAGAAGAUCUUUUGGCCAUUUCAGAAUUGCUGCUGCUGCUGCUGAAUUAAAGCAAGAAAAAGACAUUUAAAAGGCCACAUUUCUAAUUGUUUUCUAAAGUGAAACUGAGGAGUUACAGGAAGAGAGUACACAGCAUAUGGGAAAGUGAAAGAAAAAUGAAAGGAUGAACUUGUAAAAGUAGCAGCUGUUGGCUCACCAUUUGAAAUGAUGUUAUUAAGAAGCAUCACAAUGCUGUGGAGAAGGAUUGUACUACAUACGCUGCAUGGGAUGCUGGGAGACCCGCUGUGGCCUCCUGUUUGAAAAGUUAGGCUUGCUGGGGAGAUGCUCGCUACUUUAAAUUGUCAUUAAAGAAAGAUGCUGUCUGUUCUCAGAAGUGCCUUCAUACAUCAAGUCUGCGUUUUUCGGGAGCAGAUGUAUCUUUAUGAAAAAGUCGAGAGCGCUAGCAGGGCGCUCCUAAGGCGCAGGCAGCCUGUCACGCAGCGCUCUUCUGGGGGACUUGCGGACUUCCUCUGGCGUGGGGCAGCCCCGCGGGGCUCUGGGGUGACCCGACGCCCCGUCAGCGCGGGCAGGCGCCCGACACCGCGGCAGCCUGGCCGGCCGCAGCCUGCUGCCCGCGCGCU